rnacentral:lncRNA from 1 species
GUGGGUAGCUGAACAGGGUUAGGGCGGUGCUCCGCAGAGGCUUCUGGGAAACAUAGUUCAGCCCUCAGCAGCAAUUCCGGGACAGAAGGGCGGAGCCCUGCCUGCGCAGGUGCAGACCUUCACUUUCUUCGCCGCUUUGCUUUCUGGGAAGUGCAGUCCUACAAACAAAAAUACCGCAGCCCUCAGACUUGUGGGAAUUGAGCCCCGCGGUUUCCAGGGCAACGCGCAAGCGCAGUUCGGACAGGGUUGCAGAUUCCUGCUCAUUGUGUACUGACUGCGAUGUGGUGGUGGCCGCGGUCUCUCGCCGCCGGUAGAGGCUCCUGGAAGGGUGACCUAGCGGUGACCAAACACGGUGGCCAAAGCCGCAAAGGGAGAGCGGCAGUGGUGUGUGGCCGCUUCUAGCCUGAAGAAUCCCGAGCUUGCUUACGCCCCUCGCCGGCCUCCGCAGCACUUCGCCUGUCCCUAAGAGGAAGCAUCAGAGAAGAAAGAAUGGCUGUGAGCCACCUGCCAACCGUGGUCCAGGUGAGUGGGGUUUUCGCCCUAAUUUGCCUUCUGAUUUGAAGAGUACGGGGAUGUUUCUUCCCCUGCCCAGGAGCUUCACUCCUACUCCAAUCUCCCCCGCACAGUUGAC